GGGGGUUUAGUUUAGUGGUAAAACAUUAGCUUCCAAACCUAAAGUCCAGCGUUCGAUCCGUUGAACCCCCGCCA
rnacentral:tRNA from 1 species